GCUANGCUGGCGGCGUGCUUACACAUGCAAGUCGAACGGUGAAGCCAAGCUUGCUUGGUGGAUCAGUGGCGAACGGGUGAGUAACACGUGAGCAACCUGCCCUGGACUCUGGGAUAAGCGCUGGAAACGGCGUCUAAUACUGGAUAUGAGCUCCUAUCGCAUGGUGGGGGUUGGAAAGAUUUUUCGGUCUGGGAUGGGCUCGCGGCCUAUCAGCUUGUUGGUGAGGUAAUGGCUCACCAAGGCGUCGACGGGUAGCCGGCCUGAGAGGGUGACCGGCCACACUGGGACUGAGACACGGCCCAGACUCCUACGGGAGGCAGCAGUGGGGAAUAUUGCACAAUGGGCGGAAGCCUGAUGCAGCAACGCCGCGUGAGGGAUGACGGCCUUCGGGUUGUAAACCUCUUUUAGCAGGGAAGAAGCGAGAGUGACGGUACCUGCAGAAAAAGCGCCGGCUAACUACGUGCCAGCAGCCGCGGUAAUACGUAGGGCGCAAGCGUUAUCCGGAAUUAUUGGGCGUAAAGAGCUCGUAGGCGGUUUGUCGCGUCUGCUGUGAAAUCCCGAGGCUCAACCUCGGGCCUGCAGUGGGUACGGGCAGACUAGAGUGCGGUAGGGGAGAUUGGAAUUCCUGGUGUAGCGGUGGAAUGCGCAGAUAUCAGGAGGAACACCGAUGGCGAANGCAGAUCUCUGGGCCGUAACUGACNCUNAAGANCGAAAGGGUGGGGNAG
rnacentral:rRNA from 1 species